rnacentral:tRNA from 1 species
GCCUCUGUAGCUCAGUUGGUUAGAGCGCUGCACCGGAAUGGCAAGGCCGUAGGUUCAAUUCCUACCAGAGGAC